rnacentral:rRNA from 1 species
UGCGCCAAGGAACUCAAAUCUGUUAAGUGCGACUCCCGGGGGCCCGGAGACGGUGUCCCGCGGGAGUCGUCACGACACAACAUUUACAUACAAUGACUCUCGGCAACGGAUAUCUCGGCUCUUGCAUCGAUGAAGAACGUAGCGAAAUGCGAUACUUGGUGUGAAUUGCAGAAUCCCGUGAACCAUCGAGUCUUUGAACGCAAGUUGCGCCCGAAGCCAUUAGGCCGAGGGCACGCCUGCCUGGGUGUCACACAUCGUUUCCCCAACGCAAACAUGUAACAAUGUUGCUGCGCGGGGUGUAUGCUGACCUCCCGCGAGCACCCGCCUCGUGGUUGGUUGAAAUCUGGGUUCAUGGCCGACUUCGCCGUGAUAAAAUGGUGGAUGAGCCACGCUCGAGACCAAUCACGUGCGAGCCGGUCAGUUCUGGACCCAUCGACGACCCUUUGCGUGCACGCACGCUCCCAACGAGACCUCAGGUCAGGCGGGGCUACCCGCUGAG